GUGCUCACUUCGGAAGCACAUAUACUAAAAUUGGAAAGAUACAGAGAAGAUUAGCAUGGCCCCUGCGCAAGGAUGGCACACAAAACAUUAAAAAAAAAACAUACUCAU